CCCCCACCAGAGCAAAGGUCAGGGGGCGGAGCGACGGUGGAGCCGGAGCUGAGAAAAUUUCCGGUUGGCGCCUGGCCCGGCCCCCGGAAAUUAACCUUGAGUUCAGAGACCACAUAUAUUCAUCUCUGUAUCUCCAGGACUUAGCACCACGUCUGGCAUGUGGGAAAAAAGGACAAAGGAGACACUCCAACAUGGAUCUGCACCACAACAAAUACCUCCUAUAUAAGUAAGUGUUGAAGUCAAAUGUUCUAAGCUACCAACUGAAUGUCACGGUCACAUAUGAAGACUCCUUGCAGUCCCUGCAAGACAUUCAGAGUGUAAACAACCCCUGCUAUGACCAAUUUAAAAAAGAACAAUGCUAAGGGUGUGCAAAAGAGAUACAAUAAAAAGAAGGGCAUGAAGGCACAAAAAGGGAACUUGAAAUCCAACUGCAAUAAUUACUCAUGGAAUCGCCUCCUUUCUAUGUAACAUUAUAGAGACCUCCUCAGUAAAAAAAGUUUAUGCUUUUACAAAA